UACGUAGGGUGCGAGCGUUAAUCGGAAUUACUGGGCGUAAAGCGUGCGCAGACGGCUUUGCAAGACAGAUGUGAAAUCCCCGGGCUCAACCUGGGAACUGCAUUUGUGACUGCAAGGCUAGAGUACGGCAGAGGGGGAUGGAAUUCCGCGUGUAGCAGUGAAAUGCGUAGAUAUGCGGAGGAACACCAAUGGCGAAGGCAAUCCCCUGGGCCUGUACUGACGCUCAUGCACGAAAGCGUGGGGAGCAAACAGG
rnacentral:rRNA from 1 species